UUUUGAGUUACUGCUUAUGUCUACAAAUUGGCUUUCAUACUUAACCAAAAAAAAAAAGAAAAACAAAAGAAAAAACAAGAAUAGGGUUAAGUUAGUAGUUUAUUGGUGGUAGUUGCUACAUAAUUGAUGUCUGUUGGGCUAUAUAUAAUAAAUCCACGUGUUUUUUGGGAGAUAAAUGUAGACCUUUUUUUAUUCACUGGCAACUGAGCAGCGAGUAGUAACACAAGUGAUGAAGACUAAAGAAUUCCUCAACUGAACAGUGUGUCAACAACCAGGUAAUCUCAGUUAUCACUCAAGAAUUCCUUCACUUACAUUGCUGCCAUUGCUUGGAAAUGGAGACUAAAUUGGGCGUCGGUUUUUUUUGGUUUUUAUUUUUUUCAUUUAUCCUUUUCGAUGUUGUGAUGCAAAGCGUCAUUCUUUGGAAGCUGACAUGGGCAUGGAGAUAGAAGGUGAUGGGUGUGCCCGCAUAUCUUCAACUCGAUCUGGAAGCAGAUCUCGUCUUGCCUCCUGCACCAGCUGGCAGAGUUGACAACCAGAAAAACUACAUUUGAGCCUUCAACAAUAUCAAUUGCUCAACAAGGCCCAUAAGACUCGGUAUGCUUCUAAAUCAUCUCAUAACAUCCACAAAACCUCUCUCAAAGAUAAUAGCAAAAACGCUAGAUUUGACCGCAAUGUUGUCAAGGGUGCUCGGGCUGCUCGAAUUCAGCAAAACAAAUGUGAACUUUUAGACCCUGUUGUUGCUGAAGCUACACUGGACUUUCGGAAUCUUAACAAGAGAAAACUUUUAACUAAUUUCCUUACAUUUCUCCCUCAGGCAUGGUUGUUAAUUCUCUACACAGGUUUGGCUUUGCGAGAGAACAUACUUAGAGUGAAUGGAAGUGAUAUUCGCCCAUGCAGCAAAGAGUAGACACAAAUAUUGCAGAUGGCUGUGAUGCUCUGAAUCUGGGUGUGGCUGCUGAUAGCCUUUGGUUGUUUUUAUUUGUGGUGUUUGGCUUGAGGUUUGAUCUUGUAGUUGAAGGUUGGUAAUGGCGAAGAUUGCAUACCUCGUAAUGGACGAUGGAAUUUUAACAAGCAACUCUUCACCCCCAUCCGAAUAGAACGGUGGGAAGUUGUCAACGUCUCUGCUCAUUGUGAUACAAGUCAUCUUUCCCGAGAACUUAUUAACUGUGGAAGGAACAAGGGCAUUGCAUCAGGCUCAGGAUAAGCGGGUUUGUGUUUGCUUCAUGAUCCAAGCAUCAUAGCUUUUGUGUUGUUGCAGUUUUGACAAGUUUCUGGUUAUGCACUGGACUUGUUUGUGGCAAGGUCUCAGAGAGGGAUUUUGGGAUUUUGGACUUGUUUUGUUUGUACUUAGCUCUUGUAAGAGUUGAAUAGAACUGAGUCAUCCAUUUUUGUGGGGCCCAAAAAUGGGUUACCCAGAUCUAUUUUUGACAUGGCCUCUUCAGAUUUUUGAUCUUUGGAUCUGUUGUCUUUUAAAAUGAGGCCUUUGGCUGUCCUGUUUGCGUUUCUUCCUCUGUCUGGUUGAUUGAUUGAUUAAAUCUGUGUCAACAAUCUUGAGAUAUAAAUGUUAGUUUAAUGUGUGCAGGAGGUAAAUAAGAUGUGGGCAGGUUUUAGGUUAUUACAGACAGGCACGAUAUCUACUAGAGAUGAGCUCUUUUUUUGACUCUUGUGCAUCUAGAUAUUUGUAACACUAUUCGAUAUGAAUCUAUUUCUUGUUGGAUUUCAUUUGGUAUUAUUUAAAAAUGGCAUUCUUAAUGGAUAGGAUGUGCUCUUUCAAGUUCAUCGGUUGACAGCGAUGCUAACCAAUUUCUUAUUCUCUAUGGCAAGAGACUCCAUGUGAGCUACUAAGUUUCACCAAUGCAGCAGAUUCUGACGCUGUAUCUACUGAAUGGGAAGUUGAGAGUGAUGAUGAAAGUGAGGAAGAAUCUGAAUAUCAAGGCUGCAGCAAAGAGGAUCUAUGUUGAUGUUGAUUGGCAAUGGUGGAAAACAGUUCGGGCUGCAUCAGAAGAUUUGAUUGUGUUUUUGGAUAUUUUGACAUAGGAUUUUGGUAAAUGAUUUAUAGAUUUGAUGUUUAGCAUCAAAAUAUUUAGUUUUGUGUUUUUGAAAAUAUUUUGACAUAGGAUUUGGUAAUGUAUUUAUGGGUUUGAUGUU